rnacentral:tRNA from 2 species
GAGGACUUAGCUUAAUAAAAGUGGUUGAUUUGCAUUCAAUUGAUGUAAGAUAUAAUCUUGCAGUCCUUA